UAACGCGAAGAACCUUACCAGGUCUUGACAUCCUUUGAAGCUUUUAGAGAUAGAAGUGUUCUCUUCGGAGACAAAGUGACAGGUGGUGCAUGGUCGUCGUCAGCUCGUGUCGUGAGAUGUUGGGUUAAGUCCCGCAACGAGCGCAACCCUUAUUGUUAGUUGCCAGCAUUCAGAUGGGCACUCUAGCGAGACUGCCGGUGACAAACCGGAGGAAGGCGGGGACGACGUCAGAUCAUCAUGCCCCUUAUGACCUGGGCUACACACGUGCUACAAUGGCGUAUACAACGAGUUGCCAACCCGCGAGGGUGAGCUAAUCUCUUAAAGUACGUCUCAGUUCGGAUUGUAGUCUGCAACUCGACUACAUGAAGUCGGAAUCGCUAGUAAUCGCGGAUCAGC
rnacentral:rRNA from 1 species